GGGAAAUCUUUUUGUAGCCUAAGCCUGCUUUAAAUUUCUCAACAACUUUAUCCCUGACCUGUCUGCUGUGUUCUUUGGACUUCAUGGUGUUGUUGCUCCCAAUAUUCUCUUAGACAACCUCUGAGGCCGUCACAGAGCAGCUGUAUUUGUACUGACAUUAGAUUACACACAGGUGCACUCUAUUUAGUCAUUAGCACUCAUCAAGCAAUGUCUAUGGGCAACUGACUGCACUCAGACCAAAGGGGGCUGAAUAAUUACGCACACCCCACUUUGCAGUUAUUUAUUUGUAAAAAAUGUUUGGAAUCACGUAUGAUUUUCGUUCCACUUCUCACGUGUGCACCACUUUGUGUUGGUCUUUCACGUGGAAUUCCAAUAAAAUUGAUUCAUGUUUGUGGCUGUAAUGUGACAAAAUGUGAGAAAGUUCACUGUAUAUAAUUCAUCAUGAGAUAAACUGAACUUGGACCUGAAGCAUUUUAACAUGGCUGAUAUGACAUAAAUAUAUAGAAAUGGUCCAAGAUAGCUUAAAGACAAAAUGGAAGAAUAUUAUUUUCAUAAGAGUGUGGACACCAUCAAUUUACAAAAAAAGAAAAAAAAAACAACCAGGGAGAAAGCAAAGUAACUAGAAACCGUCCCCAACUCUGUAAAGCUUUGACCUGUAAGGAGCACCAUCCUCCCGUCCUAGAAACCAGGAAGUCAGUUUCAUCAUGAAUGUCAACCCAAACUAACCAGCAACAAACACACACACACACACACACACACACACACACACACACACACACACACACACACACACACAAUGAUUAUCAGGCCUGGUCAUUUCUGGUAGCCUCCCUCUGCUCUUCAGUUAUCUGUGGUUAGCAAUCAUCUGGAUUGUAUUUAUGCACUGUAAUCCUCCAGGAGAGCAAGAGAAAGUUGGAACGGGGGUGGGGAGUGGGCUGAUGAGUUGAAGAGAUAGGGAGGCAUGAAGAUUGAGUGGUGAGCAGAGAGACAGUGAGUAUGACGAAUGAGGCAAGACGCUCUUUCUUUGUAAUUUUUAUCUGAGC
ensembl:lncRNA